UAGGGAAUCUUCCACAAUGGGCGAAAGCCUGAUGGAGCAACGCCGCGUGAGUGAAGAAGGUUUUCGGAUCGUAAAGCUCUGUUGUUGGUGAAGAAGGAUAGAGGUAGUAACUGGCCCCUAUUUGACGGUAAUCAACCAGAAGUCACGGCUAACUACGUGCC
rnacentral:rRNA from 1 species